rnacentral:tRNA from 1 species
GAAGAUGUGACAGAGUGGUUUAAUGUGUCUGACUUGAAAUCAGAAUCGGUUUACCGACGUAGGUUCGAAUCCUAUCAUCUUCU